rnacentral:rRNA from 1 species
UACGUAGGGUGCAAGCGUUGUCCGGAAUUAUUGGGCGUAAAGAGCUCGUAGGCGGCUUGUCGCGUCGGCUGUGAAAACCUGGGGCUCAACUCCGGGCUUGCAGCCGAUACGGGCAAGCUAGAGUUCGGUAGGGGAGACUGGAAUUCCUGGUGUAGCGGUGAAAUGCGCAGAUAUCAGGAGGAACACCGGUGGCGAAGGCGGGUCUCUGGGCAGUAACUGACGCUGAGAAGCGAAAGCGUGGGGAGCGAACAGG